rnacentral:rRNA from 1 species
AACGAACGCUGGCGGCAUGCCUAACACAUGCAAGUCGAGCGCCCGUAGCAAUACGGGAGCGGCGCACGGGUGAGUAACGCGUGGGAACCUGCCCAGAGGUCUGGGACAACCGCGGGAAACUGCGGCUGAUACCGGAUGAUUCCUGAGGGACAAAGAUUUAUCGCCUUUGGAGGGGCCCGCGUCGGAUUAGGUAGUUGGUGGGGUAACGGCUCACCAAGCCUAUGAUCCGUAAACUGGUCUGAGAGGAUGACCAGUCACACUGGGACUGAGACACGGCCCAGACUCCUACGGGAGGCAGCAGUGGGAGUAUUGGACAAUGGGGGCAACCCUGAUCCAGCAAUGCCGCGUGGGUGAUGAAGGCCUUCGGGUUG